UUAUUCUCUGUGUUUCCUGCUGCCAAACUGCAGGAUCCCAGAGAUCCCACCCCAGAGAGUGUCCUUGAUCAAAGAGUGAUCAUUAGGAGAAACCACCUUGUUUACCCGUCUCCAUGGCGACAUCCUCCUAAUGGCAGCUUUGGCUCUCGGGGAUGUGAAACGAUUUCACGAAGCGUCAUUAACUCCUCACAAUUUGAUGUGCUGCCAGGAGGGAGACCUCCGGGGGCCUGCAGGCUGCAGGCUGAAGACAGCAAGGGCUUUAAGAGCUGCAAGAUAUUAAUGCCAAACAAGACAUCUAAAUUGUUACUCUGGAAACCUGCAUACGCAGCCCUUCACAGAUUAGAUGAUGAAAUGCCACAUUUAAAACAUCCUUGAGUGUCAUACCCCAGCCUUCCCCGGAAGAGAGCCUGUCAGUCCCGGCCCGGUUCUGUCGCGUUGGAGGCUGGAAGGGAUGCUAUCACAAUGCAAAAAGGCAAUUCACGGAAUGGGAUACAUUAUGUGCAGACAACCUGACAAGGGUCCCUGGCAAGCAGACUUGAAUAAAUGCUUCUCCAAGGAAACCACCCAUUUACACUGAGCACCUGAGAAAACAUUCAACAUCUUUGUCUUAGGAAAAUGCAAAUCCAAGCCACAACGAGGUUCCACUCUGCACCCACAAGGACGGCUACAGUUUUUUACAAAGGAAAAAUAGUAACUGUUGACUGUGACGUUAGAGAAAUGGGACACUUGUGCAUGACUAGUGGGAGUGUGGAGUGGCCGGCCACUGUGGAAAACAGACCGACGGCUGAGAAAAAGGCUGACCUCCCGUCACCAGGAACCAGCAAUUCUACUAGAAAGACACGUGGUCAAAAGAAGGGAAAGUGGUGUCCACGGGACUCCUGGGCACGGGCAUGGCCGCCCCUCCUCUGUCACCAGUUGGUGGGCUCUCAGGGCCCAUCCACAGGUCCUCCAGACCCUCCAGCUGGACUCUGGCAGUUUGUCCCGGUGGGAUCUAGGGUCCUCUCUGUGCCCUGCAGCUGGAGCGCUUCCUGCCAGGUCUGGAGAUCGUGACCCUAAGGAGGUGGACCCCCGAGGAGUCACUCCCGAUACCCUCAGGCGGCCUGUGACACACCACUGACUCACCUCAGGGACAUGCUGACCAUAUGCCAGGGAAUCUGUCAUCUCCCGGGACUCAGCUGCCCGCCCUGCCGUCCUAGAGCAAGCGCCUCAGGAGGACAAGUUCAGCAGGUGUUGUCCACUCUGCCGGAGAAGGGGGAGCCAGCAUGUCUGGGGGCUCUGUGGGACAGCCCUGGGUAAGAAGCCUCUAAAGGACGUAAUGGGGCGGGGGUGACGGUUCAUAGGGUGACCGUGGUCACUAUGAUUCUAGGUUGAAGCAACACGUUAGCAUCAACCCCAUGUGUGGCCCUUGAUUCUGCCUGCUUUGUUUAUAAAGCACUGGAUGACCCAUGGCCAU